GGCCUCGUAGCUUAGUGGUAAAACGCCAGUCUUGUAAACUGGAGGUCGGUGGUUCGAGACCGCGCGGGGCCU
rnacentral:tRNA from 1 species